rnacentral:rRNA from 1 species
CAGUUCGGAUUGCAGGCUGCAACCCGCCUGCAUGAAGUUGGAAUCGCUAGUAAUCGCGGAUCAGCAUGCCGCGGUGAAUACGUUCCCGGGCCUUGUACACACCGCCCGUCACACCAUGAGAGUCGGGGACACCCGAAGUCCGUAGUCUAACCGCAAGGGGACGCGGCCGAAGGUGGAUUCGAUAAUUGGGGUGAAGUCGUAACAAGGUACC